UUAUACAUGCAAGUCGAACGAUGAAGUUCCUUCGGGAAUGGAUUAGUGGCGAACGGGUGAGGAACACGUGAGAAACCUGCCUUUCAUUCUGGGAUAACGCCGGGAAACCGGUGCUAAUACCGGAUACUCCGUCUUGGCGGCAUCGCCGAGCCGGGAAAAAAUUUUGAUGAAAGAUGGUCUCGCGGCCUAUCAGCUAGUUGGUGAGGUAAAGGCUCACUAAGGCGACGACGGGUAGCCGGCCUGAGAGGGCGACCGGCCACACUGGGACUGAGACACGGCCCAGACUCCUACGGGAGGCAGCAGUAGGGAAUAUUGGGCAAUGGGCGCAAGCCUGACCCAGCGACGCCGCGUGAGGGAUGAAGGUCUUCGGAUUGUAAACCUCUUUCAGUAGGGAAGAAGCGAAAGUGACGGUACCUAAAGAAGAAGCACCGGCUAACUAUGUGCCAGCAGCCGCGGUAAUACAUAGGGUGCAAGCGUUGUCCGGAAUUAUUGGGCGUAAAGAGCUCGUAGGUCGUUUGUCGCGUCGAUUGUGAAAAUCUGAGGCUCAACCUCAGACCUGCAGUCGAUACGGGCAAACUAGAGUGUGGUAGGGGAGACUGGAAUUCCUGGUGUAGCGGUGGAAUGCGCAGAUAUCAGGAGGAACACCAAUGGCGAAGGCAGGUCUCUGGGCCAUAACUGACACUGGGGAGCGAAAGUGCGGGGAGCGAACAGGAUUAGAUACCCUGGUAGUCCGCACCGUAAACGGUGGGCACUAGUUGUGGGAACCUUCCACGGUUUCCGCGACGCAGCUAACGCAUUAAGUGCCCCGCCUGGGGAGUACGAUCGCAAGAUUAAAACUCAAAGGAAUUGACGG
rnacentral:rRNA from 1 species